CGGGGGGAGCAAGCGUUGUUCGGAUUUACUGGGCGUAAAGGGCGCGUAGGCGGUCAGCACAAGUCAGUUGUGAAAUCUCCGGGCUUAACUCGGAAAGGUCAACUGAUACUGUGCGACUAGAGUGCAGAAGGGGCAACUGGAAUUCUCGGUGUAGCGGUGAAAUGCGUAGAUAUCGAGAGGAACACCUGCGGCGAAGGCGGGUUGCUGGGCUGACACUGACGCUGAGGCGCGAAAGCCAGGGGAGCGAACGGGAUUAGAUACCCCGGUAGUCCUGGCCUUAAACGAUGGAUGCUUGGUGUCUGGAGUUAUAUAGUCUCCGGGUGCCGCAGCUAACGCGUUAAGCAUCCCGCCCGGGGAGUACGGUCGCAAGACUG
rnacentral:rRNA from 1 species